CUCUGGAGCGGAAGUGACGUUGGGCAGGGGGAGAACAAGCCGGGCUCCUGCGGGUCCGUUGGAGCCUCUCCCGGGACCGGAGAAAGGUGCUGGCAAGGGUCAUCAUGGUGCACCUUGCUCAUCUCCUUAUGAAAAAUUAUCAUGGAUGACAUGUCGCUAUCCGAUUGGCGCUUGGCGGCUGUGCCAACAGACCCUUCUUCCGUAUAAUGGCCGCAUGUAACAAGCGAGCACGGGACAGCAAGUAUUUGGAGCAAGUGGGCUGCUAUGACCCACUCCCAAAUAGCCAUAAUGAAAAGCUUGUUGGCUUGAACAUCGAGAGGAUCAAAGACUGGAUUGGUUGUGGAGCACGUCACAAAACCAGUUGAAAAACUUCUAGAUCUUUCUAGAUUUUUCCCAUUGCAUCCUAUGACGAUCACAAAUGCAGAAAGAUUAAGGAAGAGAAGAGCCUUGAAGGCCGAAACAGCUUCUGAGGAAGAAACUCCAGGUGACCAAUAACAUCUAUCUGAACUGAAUUACUCAAAAGAUUACUGUACAGACAACGAUCAGAACAGGGUGCCAACUAAAAAGGACAAUAUACAUACCACAGGCAAAAACGAUAGUGGAUAUGAAUUAUUUCAUAAGAACAUUAAAGUAUUUUGAGGCUUCAGGAGGCCUCAGACAAGGAU